rnacentral:rRNA from 1 species
CACCGCGGUUAUACGAGAGGCCCAAGUUGACAAGCAUCGGCGUAAAGAGUGGUUAAUAUAUAACAAACUAAGACCGAACAUCUUCAAAGCUGUCAUACGCAUUCGAAGGCAGGAAGGCCCCCUACGAAAGUGGUCUUAAUAAAUAUGACCCCACGAAAGCUAGGGCA